rnacentral:rRNA from 1 species
AACGAACGCUGGCGGCAGGCUUAACACAUGCAAGUCGAACGCCCCGCAAGGGGAGUGGCAGACGGGUGAGUAACGCGUGGGAAUCUACCCAGAACUUCGGAACAACUGAGGGAAACUUCAGCUAAUACCGGAUACGCCCUACGGGGGAAAGAUUUAUCGGUUCUGGAUGAGCCCGCGUUGGAUUAGCUAGUUGGUGAGGUAAUGGCUCACCAAGGCGACGAUCCAUAGCUGGUCUGAGAGGAUGAUCAGCCACACUGGGACUGAGACACGGCCCAGACUCCUACGGGAGGCAGCAGUGGGGAAUAUUGGACAAUGGGCGAAAGCCUGAUCCAGCCAUGCCGCGUGAGUGAUGAAGGCCUUUAGGGUU